GCACCUGGCCUGUGGUCUCUUUUCAGAAAACCACAACCCUAGCCUAAUCAUGAGAAAAACAUCAGACAAACCGUAGCUGAGAAAUUGUACAAAAUACCUGACCUGUACUCCUCAAAACAGUCAAGGAAUCAUCAAAAACAAGGAAGGUCUAAGAAACUGUCACAGCCAAAAGGAGCCUAAGGAGACACAGUGACUAAAUGUGAUGUGGAAUCCUGGAACAGAAAAAGGACAGUAGGAAGGCCUGGAGAAGAAGGAAAGAAUGAAGCCGACUGGCGGGAAUUCACUUUGGAAUGUGAAGUGCUUUGCUCUUUGGAAGAACUGACAUUCUCUGAAGCUUCUUCCAGUUAUGCCCACUGAUGGUUGAGUAACUUGCACUGGACGAGUUUUUUCUUUUUUUUUUUUUUUUUUUUUUAAUUGGGAAACUCAUGUAACAAACCUAAAUUUAUUGAAAAUGAAAUCAGUAAAACUCUGCAGGCCCCACCUCAACCAGCACCAAGGCCUCUACUUGGUCUGGUCCCAGUUCUUUAAGCCCCAGAAUGGACAACCAUGUGAAGAAGCUGAGGUCAAAUGCAGGGCCACAUGCCCACACUGCAAACCCCUCCACCCACCCUCAACUCACACACACCCUGGGAUCAGCAGGUCUAGGCUGAAAUAGAGAACAGUGAGGUUCCCAGGGUGGCAGGUAGGUAUGACAGGCACCAUACCCCAACCCGCUCAAACCCUAAGUUAGCAAAGGAAGACAGAAGACUGGCUUGCCUGCCCAUCCCCCUCCCCCCACC